CCUACGGGAGGUAGCAGUGGGGAAUAUUGCACAAUGGGGGAAACCCUGAUGCAGCGACGCCGCGUGAGUGAAGAAGUAAUUCGUUACGUAAAGCUCUAUCAGCAGGGAAGAAAAUGACGGUACUUGAGUAAGAAGCCCCGGCUAACUACGUGCCAGCAGCCGCGGUAAUAAGUCGGGGGCAAGCGUUAUCCGGAUUUACUGGGUGGAAAGGGAGCGUAGACGGUGAGCCAAGUCUGGAGUGAAAUGCCGCGGCUUAACUGCGGGACUGCUUUGGAAACUGGAGAACUAGAGUGCGGGAGGGGUAAGCGGAAUUCCUAGUGUAGCGGUGAAAUGCGUAGAUAUUAGGAGGAACACCGGUGGCGAAGGCGGCUUACUGGACCGUAACUGACGUUGAGGCUCGAAAGCGUGGGGAGCAAACAGGAUUAGAUACCCGGGUAGUU
rnacentral:rRNA from 1 species